rnacentral:rRNA from 1 species
UACGUAGGUGGCAAGCGUUGUCCGGAUUUAUUGGGUUUAAAGGGUGCGUAGGCGGCUUUGUAAGUCAGUGGUGAAAUAUGGCAGCUUAACUGUCAAGGUGCCAUUGAUACUGCGGAGCUUGAGUACAGAUGAGGUAGGCGGAAUUGACGGUGUAGCGGUGAAAUGCUUAGAUAUCGUCAAGAACACCUAUAGCGAAGGCAGCUUACUAGGCUGUAACUGACGCUGAGGCACGAAAGCGUGGGGAUCAAACAGG